ensembl:lncRNA
CCCCCCGCACACCUCCAGACCUCCAGACGUGUCAACAACUUUUAUAUGGGAGCAAAGGUUGGAAGUAUCAGUCCCGGAUUCCCUUAAGACGUUCUGCCACUAUAGUCUCUGUGGACGCAUCAACCUCCUGCUCACAACAAACAUUUCAAAUGGAGCACAGGUAGGCGGCUUCAACCUGACAGUCAGUCCGUUUUUGUCUUCAGGUUUCAAACUUUCAUUUAUAUAUACGUUCACCUUCAGGUUAGUCCUCCUGAACCUCUUCAUAGAUGUAACUGUCAAGGGAAAAUGGCAGUAUAAUAGAAUACAUCAAAUCAAAAUUCUUGUGAAGUUGGUAAAAUGGGGUCAUUAGUUCAUACUUUAUUGUGAAGCCACCUCUCUGAUAGGCCUCUCUGAUUUAUUCAGGACAGUGAAAUCCAGAGAAUUGUGCUCCUUUCAGACAAAGCCUGACAAAAAAGAUGGGAAAUGAAUUGACUGUUAAUCUCUUAACUAGCCUAUUCAGGAACUGUCAGAAAUAUCAUUAACCUCGAGAAAGGGAAUUAUUCAAAGCAAUUAUCAAGCUUCCCAUCUGUCUCACAUUCUCACACACCCGGUCAAGGACAGCCUGGACACAUUCACUGUCAGCUCAGGUUUAGCGUCCCCCAGUAUCUCUUUAAUCAGCAAGAGGGCCUGUGGGGGGAAGUUAGCGGUUAAUUAAAAAGAAAGGCAGCAUUUAGCCACGUUCAGCUAAUGAAUGGAUCCUGAUGCGGGAGCUACCCGGCUAAACUUUGUGCCCCGUGUGACAUGACUGAGUGAGUCAGGCGGACCCCUGGCCAAUAUCGAGACCAAAACUGAACUCAGCCAAAGUCGUUAGGAUACAUGGUGCUGUGGUGGGCCUGAAUCUCACACGUCUCUCACAGAGUCUCACGAGGGCGCCACGCCUACAGUCAAGUCAGGUAGCACCUGCAGGAAGACACUGUGAAGAUAGCAUUGUUAGGAGUUGUUAGGAGAAGAUAGCAUUGUUAGGAGUUGUUAGGAGAAGAUAGCAUUGUUAGGAGUUGUUAGGAGAAGAUAGUAUUGUUAGGAGUUGUUAGGAGAAGAUAGUAUUGUUAGGAGUUGUUAGGAGAAGAUAGUAUUGUUAGCAGUUGUUAGGAGAAGAUAGUAUUGUUAGGAGUUGUUAGGAGAAGAUAUCAUUGUUAGGAGUUGUUAGGAGAAGAUAGUAUUGUUAGCAGUUGUUAGGAGAAGAUAGAGUUGUUAGGAGAAGAUAGCAUUGUUAGGAGUUGUUAGGAGAAGAUAGUAUUGUUAGGAGUUGUUAGGAGAAGAUAGUAUUGUUAGGAGUUGUUAGGAGAAGAUAGUAUUGUUAGGAGUCGCUGAAGGCGAGCGGAAAUGUACCUGUAGUAUUUAUAAGGCGGGGGCAUCAAAGCAGCAGGGAAAUGAACAGGCUUGAAAGCUCCUCACAUGAGCUCCCACUUCACUCUGCCACUGAACACCCCUGCCCAGGUGCAACGCCACU